UACAGAGGUCCCAAGCGUUGUUCGGAUUCACUGGGCGUAAAGGGUGCGUAGGCGGUCAGGUAAGUCUAACGUGAAAUCUCCGAGCUUAACUCGGAAACCGCGUCGGAUACUACUUGGCUAGAGGAAUGGAGGGGAGACUGGAAUUCUCGGUGUAGCAGUGAAAUGCGUAGAUAUCGAGAGGAACACCAGUGGCGAAGGCGAGUCUCUGGACAUUUCCUGACGCUGAGGCACGAAAGCCAGGGGAGCAAACGGG
rnacentral:rRNA from 1 species